rnacentral:rRNA from 1 species
CACCCGCACGUAUAGAAUGGACAAGAAAUAGGCUUCGCGCUUAGCGUCUUAGCAGGCGCAUUCUUCCACGGCGCUCGAAGCGCGUCGUGGUAUUUCGCGUAUUGUAAUUUCAACACGAGCGGGGUCAAAUCCUUUGCAGACGACUUAGCUGUGCGAAACGGUCCUGUAAGCAGUAGAGUAGCCUUGUUGUUACGAUCUGCUGAGGGUAAGCCGUCCUUCGCCUCGAUUUCCCCAAUGGGUUCUCCGGAUUUCUGGAGACUUGUAGGGGUUGUGGGAUUUUUGAUGUGUCGUCUCCGGACGGGCGGUGCAGGGUAGUCGAGUUAGACUUGGUGGAAUUCCGUCGAUAGGAGUUCCGUCGAGUCUGGUCGGCUGUGUGUUGGACGGUGCAGGGUAGGCUGCUUGGACAUGGUCGGUUCGAGGAUCGAUUCGAGGGCCGGCCUGUCGAUGAUGUGUGAUGUAUGCGGUCUAGGGUAGGCUGGUUUGUCUUGGUCCAAUUUGAUGUCGGCUCCCGUGCAGGCCAGAGUGAGGGGGGUACAGGGUAGGCAGCUUAGAUUUGGUCGAUCUGGAGGUCGAUUCUCCGGCUGGCGGAUCUGACACUGUCGAAACGAGGUGCGAGCGGUGUAGGGUAGGCUAGUUUCGUCCUCGCCAGGUUGCGAUUUGGACGAGAUAUGUGGUCUAGGGUAUGCUCUAGGGUAAGUAGAAUUCGUGUUUCGUCGCCGACAGUUUUCUGUGGGUGUGUGGUAGGUACAGGGUAGGCAAAUCUCUCUCCGGCCAGUACUUGUCUGGUGGUCGUGAGUCGAUUUUUUUGUUUUGCCAUACUAUUGAAUUUUGCGGAAAUUCAAAAGUGGCUCGGGAGUCCCGCCUGGCGUGCGUCCGACUCGAACGUCGUCGGUGUACAUAUGAGAGGGAGUAAUCCGGCCCGGCCGGGGCCCAUCGCGAGCUGCCCGGGUAGGUAAAA